rnacentral:rRNA from 1 species
GGGGAGAUUCAGCCCCGUCCGCGUCAGCCGGCCCACGGGCGGUUGCUCCCGGAUGCUCCCGGCCACCGGUCGCGCCGCAAGGCGCGCUCCGGUGCGAGUCGGGCGCACCGGCCGCCCGUGGUCAGAGGCGGUGGCGGGGUGCACUUCUGGCCCCAUUUGGACGUCGCGACCCGUCGGAGGAGUCUCCGGACGAAGCGGCCUAAGGCCCGGGACAGAGCCCGAGGGUGCUUCCGCUGAGGCGCGGGUCAAAGGUGCCCUCGGACCCCGGUUAAAGCCCGGCCGCCCUCCGACGGUCUUCAUGUGAAGGAGGAUAAAGGCCGGCUACCUCGCGUCUCGGCGCGAGUAGCGAGCGUCCGACCCGUUGGGGCAAGCUCUCCGGGGGACUGUACUCGGGUGUCGCGUGGCUCUCGUCACGCCCCCGGGCCCCGGUUAGGCUGUUGGUCCCCGGCGUUCUCGGACAAUGGCCACUCCAGUCAGCGGCGCUUCCGCUUCGGGUACUCUCCCGACCCGUCUUGAAA